rnacentral:other from 1 species
UUCUGCCUUGUUCGAGAAAAUAUAGUUUUUUAUAAUCCAACACAUUUUUAAAGGGAAUUCGUCUCCGUGUGUGGACUGCAGACCUCCCGCUUGCGGAUGAAGGGAGCGAGAAGCAUUCGGGCGUUUACCCACCUGCUGAGUGCGGGUUUUAUUCGCUAUAUCACGGCAAGGCGGAA